AAAUGCAGUGAAGUCAUAAAAGUUAGGGAGCAAGUUGUCGGCUCAUUAGAAACCAAUUUUACAUCCAAUUUUCAGUUUAAUGUAUCUACAAACAGCGCAAUCACAGCUUCAUUUCCAAGUGGGAUUGCUGUUCAGUUUGAAGCCUGGAGGCUCAAUGUAGCAAGCUCACUAUUGCUGGCAUUAUUUAGAAGACACUAAUAACAUGACUUAGUACUAGCUUCAGUGAUCUACUGAAAAUAUGCUUUGCGACAAGAAAUCUAUGGAGACAAUCAGGGGCAGCCAGGAUGCACGGAUUGUAUACAACAGACCUGCUGUAUCCAGUGAAGAUGAUUUCUGGAUAAAUGAAAUCCCCAGGAGCCUUGGUAAAUAUUGAAGUGCCCAAACUGACGCCAACUUCCCCUGGGAAACGUUGCCAGUAACAAUAGCCUGAAGGCUCAGGUGAUGGUAUUUUCAAGUGUGCUUUUGAUACCUUUGCACACUCCUAAACUGUGAGAGAGUGGAGGAGAGUGCUGGCAGUUUAAUUAUGUGGGAAUACGAAUGGGAGCAGUGAGUGCCAGCAUAGCGAUAAUGAAUUCAUCCAAGAUGCUCACACACACCGCAACAACAUACCCCUCACAAACUGAGGCUACUGCAGCCACUGCUGAGGCGCUCUGCAUUUAUACAGUGCGACAAACUGAAGAAACUCCCAGAGCCUCAUCUGCUCAUUGUGUCCUGUUCCACCUGUGACAGUCUAAUCCUGAAGUCAAUCUGAGUUUGUGGAGUCACUAUAGCUGCUCCACCACAGUUUAAAUUUAAUCUGACUGUAAUUGCAGAAUACUUCAAGCAACCUUAUGCACAAAAAUAAUAUUUAAUUUCAUUACAUACCCAAGAUUACUAGAAAUAACUGACCUUGUCUUUCUUUAAAGUGCCCUAGAAUUCUGCCAGGGACACUUAACAUGUCGCUAUGAUCAGUUAUCUACAGGUAGAGAAUAAAUGCUUUGACCCACGGGCAGAAUAAAAAUAGCCCUUUUUAAUUCCUCUUGAACCCACCCAACGUCUAGAGGGGAAGUUAAAAUAGAAUCGUCAAUACACAUUGCAGAAAGCAGAGCAGUUUAUAUAAGAACUGGCAGGUGCUGGUCCGACAGAAUCAAAAUGGCUCUUCUGCCUUCUGCCAGCAACAGCAAUACAGUUCUUAUGUUCCCUGUUCCUUCUGGCAAUCCAUGAUUACUCCAAAAAUAUCCCUCAUACACCUUAUACUCAAGGAAAAGAGCCCAGGGAACAUACAUCUAGCUUUUGAGGUAAGAAGUCGGAUCUAUUCCUAAUAACACAUUCCAAAUAGUGGCGGCGUUGUGAUAUAAGCGUGCAACAAAUCAAUAAAAAUGUCAUGAAUAAGAUCAACUGGGGGUAAAUGCAAUUGAUCUAAGAGACACUGUAUCGUAAAACUCUUGCCAUUUAAAUAAAUAACAUGGACAUUAUCUAGCUCCAAAGAGACACUGUUAGAAAUGUUCAUAGGCUUCUAACACAAAGCACCCUCAUGUAUAUCUGCCACUGUUUUGAUUAGUUGAAUUGACCCCAUAAUUUUUCCUUGUCCACUUUAUUAUAC